UACGUAGGGACCAAGCGUUGUCCGGAUUCAUUGGGCGUAAAGCGCUCGUAGGCGGCCACUCAAGUCGAAUGUGAAACCUCGAGGCUUAACCUCGAGCCUGCAUUCGAUACUGGGCGGCUAGAGUCUGGUAGGGGGAUCUGGAAUUCCUGGUGUAGCGGUGGAAUGCGCAGAUAUCAGGAGGAACACCGGUGGCGAAGGCGGGAUCCUGGGCCAGUACUGACGCUGAGACGCGAAAGCUAGGGGAGCGAACAGG
rnacentral:rRNA from 1 species